rnacentral:rRNA from 1 species
GACGGAGGAUGCAAGUGUUAUCCGGAAUCACUGGGCGUAAAGCGUCUGUAGGUGGUUCGAAAAGUCCACUGUUAAAAAUUGAGGCUUAACUUCAAAGAUGCCGUGGAAACUUUCAAACUAGAGUAUGGUAGGGGUAGAGGGAAUUUCCAGUGGAGCGGUGAAAUGCGUAGAUAUUGGAAAAGACCACCGAUGGCGAAGGCACUCUACUGGGCCAUUACUGACACUGAGAGACGAAAGCUAGGGGAGCAAAUGGGA